GACGAACCGUGCGAACGUUGUUCGGAAUCACUGGGCUUAAAGGGCGCGUAGGCGGGUUUUCAAGUCUGUGGUGAAAGCCUCCAGCUUAACCGGAGAAGUGCCGUGGAUACUGGGAACCUCGAGGUGGGUAGGGGCAUCUGGAACAGCCGGUGGAGCGGUGAAAUGCGUUGAUAUCAGGAGGAACACCGAUGGCGAAGGCAGGUCUCUGGGCCGAUACUGACGCUGAGGAGCGAAAGCGUGGGGAGCGAACAGG
rnacentral:rRNA from 1 species